rnacentral:rRNA from 1 species
UACGUAGGGAGCAAGCGUUGUCCGGAUUCACUGGGUGUAAAGGGUGCGCAGGCGGGAGAGUAAGUCAGAGGUGAAAUCUCACAGCUUAACUGUGAAACUGCCUUUGAUACUGCUUUUCUUGAGUUCGGGAGAGGUUGAUGGAAUUCCAGGUGUAGCGGUGAAAUGCGUAGAUAUCUGGAAGAACACCAGUGGCGAAGGCGGUCAACUGGCCCGGUAACUGACGCUCAGGCACGAAAGCGUGGGGAGCGAACGAGGG